rnacentral:lncRNA from 10 species
AAUCGCUUGACCCUGGGAGGUGGAGGUUGCAGUGAGCUGAGAUCACGCCAUUGCACUCCAGCCUGGGCAACAAGAGCGAAACUCCGUCUCAGAAAACAAAACAAAACAAAAAAACCCAAAACAAUCAAAGGAGCAUGAGGAAGCUUUUGGGGAUGAUGGAUACACUCAUAAUCUUUAUUGUAAAGAUAGUUUCACAGGUGUAUGCAAAUGUCAAAACUCAUCAAAUUGUACCCUUUGCAGUUUAUUGUAUGUCAAUUCAAUACAGCUGCUUAAAGAAACAACAUUGAUAUAUCACAUUAUACCAUUAGAUUGGCAAAAACUAGAAAUCUGAGUAAUGCUAAGUGUUAGCCAAAAUGAGGUAUAUAGGGACCCUGAUGGGAGUAUAGAUUAGUGCAGCCAUUCUAGAAAGCAAUCAGCCAGUACAUAGUCAAAUUAAUUUUGACAAUAGUUUCUGUGCCAAUUAUUCUGCUCCUAGGUUGAUAUUUAAAAAGAAGAUAGCUGGUCCAAGUGCAGUGGUGUUUGCAACUAAUUGAUCACAACCAGUUACAGAUUUCUUUGUUCCUUCUCUACUCCCACUGCUCCACUUGACUAGCCUUAUUAAAAAAAAAAAAAAAAAAAAGAAGAGCCGGGCACGGUGGCUCACGCCUGUAAUCCCAGCACUUUGAGAGGCCGAGGCAGGUGGAUCACUUGAGGUUGGAAGUUCGAGACCAGCCUGGCCAACAUGGGGAAACCCCUUCUCUACUAAAAAUACAAAAAAUUAGCCAGGCAUAGUGGCACAUGCUUGGAAUCCCACCUACUGUGAUGGCUGAGGCAGGAGAAUCCCUUGAACCUGGGGGGCAGAGGUUGCAGUGAGCCAAGAUCGCGCCAUUGCACUCCAGCCUGGAUGACGAGUGAAAUGUCAUCUCAAAAAAAAAAAAGAAGAAGAAGAAUCUCAUCAUAAUGAAACUGCACAAAAUCAAGGGGGAGAGAGAAAAUUUAAAAAAAUAAAAGAGCCAGGUGCAGUGGCGCACCCUGUUGUCCCAGCUACAUGGGAGGCUGAGGCAGGAGGAUGGCUUGAGUCCAAGAGUUCUGGGCCAUAGUGUGCUACGUCCAUCAGGUGUCUGUUUGCACUAAAUUCUGCAUCAAUAUGGUGACCUCCUGGGAGCUGGGGGACCACCAGGUUGCCUAAGGAGAGGUGAACUAGCCCAGGUUGGGAACUGAGCAGGUCAAAACUCCUGUGCUGAUCAGUAGUGGAAUUGUGCCUGUGAAUAGCCACUGCACUCCAGCCUGGACAAUGUAGUAAGACCCUGUCUCCUAAAAAAAAAAAAAAAGAAAAGCAGGGGGCACGGGCAUGAUGGCCCAUGCCUGUAAUCCCAGCACUUUGGGAGGCCAAGGCAAGAGAAUUGCUUACCUAAUUGCUUACAUGCCCUAAAGCCAGACUGCCUGGGUUCAAACCUUAUUCAUUUCCUUGGGCAAGUUAUUCAAAGUCUCUGGGAAUCAACUUCUCCAUCUGUAAAAUGGGAAUGAUUAUAUGGUACCUACCUCAAAGGGCUGUUAGGAUUAAAAGAGUUAAUAUGUGUGAAAAUAUUUUUCUUCUUUUUCAUAAGUAAUUGAAUGAUUUUUGCUCCAUUUUUUGAAAUUUUGAAAAUGUUCAUUGCCUAGGAGUUCAAGACCAGCCUAAGCAAUAUGGGAGACCCCAUCUCUAUCCCUCCAAAAAAAAGAUAAAAGAGAGGAGGACUUAAGCUACCCAGUUUCAAGACUGAGUUAUAAGCACUGUAAAGCAUGGUAAUCAAAACUGUGCUAUUAGAAAGAUCUGUAGAUCAAUAGAAUAGAGAGUUCAGGAACAGACUCACACAUAUGUGGUAAGUUGAUUUUCAACAAAGAUGUUAAGAAAGGGUAGUCUUUUCUAAAAAUGGUGCAGAAACAAUUAGAUAUCCAUAAGGAAAAACAAUUUCAAUGCUUAUAUCAUACUCAUAUAGUAUAUGAUACCAUAAAAAUUAAAUGGAAAUGGAUCAUAGGCCUAAUCGUAAAAGCUAAAACUUUUGCAAGAAAACAAGAGAAAAAUCUUUGAGAACUUUGGGUAGAAAAAGCUUUCUUAGAAAAAAAAGAAAAUUAACCUUAAAACAAAAACUUGAGCUGGGAGCAGUGGC